AAGAUACAAGAGACAGAUAUAAGAGGGCUGUUGGUCAAUAUCAUGACAGCAAAGAGUAUAUUUUCUCAGUGUCUUUUAAAGGCAAACAAGAGAAAGCAUGACCAAUUCAAGGAAGUUAAAUGCUACCACAAAUGCUCACAUGAUCAGUUUAUGGUACACAGUAUCCAUGUUUGACUAAGGCCAUAUCCUUUAGGCUUAUACAGUCUUUCAAGGAUGCAUGUGUAAGACAAGGAACUUGGCAGGAUAUAACACAUAUCUUAAUUAAAAACAAAGACAGAUGUCUGUAGACUCAUUCACAAUUAGUCACAGGCAAGAAGUCAGACAAAGUUAAUUCUAGAUGUGUUCCCCACAUGUCCCCCCUUUUUAUCCAUGCAAGCCAAAGCUGCCCCAGCUCUUGGUGCAGUCUUAGGCAUCCCUUCAAGAAGUGUGGACCUCAUCUGUCAUUGGUACAUGAUUUCUGACAUUCAUGCCCUGUCUUAGGUUGAUCCACCUCUGAGAGAAUCUUAUCCUCUUUUAUUUUGUUUGUUUGUUUUUCUUUAAGAGCCUUGCAUCUUAUAAAUCAUGUUGUGUCUGUCUUAGGUUGCCAUCUGAAAACACAGCUCUUACCUGUCAUUGGCAUGCAAAUAAUUUUGUAAUCAUGGCCUGUCUUAGGUUGAGAGGAUUUUUUUCAAGAUGAUCUUACCUGUCAUUGACUACCAACGUCUGCUAGGGAAGACACUGGACCUGACUCUGAUGAUUACUCUCAAAAGAACAGGUUAUGUGCCAAGUAUUGUGUGGCAGACUUUUUGUGGAGAAGCACAACACAUGUUUAUUCACUCAUGAAAAGGAAUACAUGAAAAGACCCAAAUAAUAACUACACUAAUGUUUAGAAUGAUGAACCAAUUAGACCUUAUUGGCAUUUCUAACAGGAGGACGGGCCAUGGAUCACUUACAAGGACUAAGGAUAAUUCAAAAUGAUCAGCUGAGUCACCAGAAAGCCCACCCCAACAUUGGUGAUAGCCAAAAAAAUCUAUAACUGUGGACUUUCUACACAGCUGGGGGGAAGGGGACUGAAUUCCACAGUCAAAACAUCCUUUCUCUGCAGCACUGACAGCCAGUCUUUGCCCCAAGCACUUGUUUAUCACCACUUCUUUUGCCGAGGUAGUACCCUCAAUAAUUUUUCAAGUUUCUGUUCUCCUAGACAUGUAACCUUGUGUUCACCAGAGGCUCACAAGCAUCCUCUUCCCUCCUAGAGAAAUGCUGCGAUUUGGGAAUGCACCAUGCAUCCUUCCAGAAGACAAGUGUGUCAGCAUCCCAUCAUCACACAGUUCCGAUUGGAAGCAGGGAAAGUUAACUUUGGCUCACAGUUUUUGAGAUUUUGUUUCAGAUCCAUCAUCUAGCCUGUCUAGGACCCCCCACAGUUGUCCCAUUCAUGCCCUAUCCACAUAGUUGAGUUGAAUUGGCAGCCAUUUGUAUGACUUCACAUGUAAAAAUUACUGGUGAUACAUGUCCACAUCAUUCACGGAAGCUAGAAGCAAAAUGUGGUGAAGGAGUAAUCAGAAACCAUUCAACGCAAAAGAAUGCAGAACUUCAGAUGGUGUCCCUUUUACAAAAGCAACAGGCAGCUAUUUCUACUAAAAUUCACAUUCUUGGAAGCCAUUCGUUAUGAGAAUGUGAAGCAAACACAACACAGCAGAGGACACUGUGAGAUGAGUAGCUGAGAACAAGAUCAACUGGAUAUGAAGGUCUCAAUGGUGUAGAGGGAACGCUGGGCCUCCCACAAAGGCUAUAAGAGACUCAGAGAAGACCUGAACACUGCAUUUCAUCUCACUGUUUUAUUUUUGAAAACAAGAGACUUCUUUUCCCUAAGUCCCCUUCACUUGUGGAGAAUGCACCACUAUCAUCACACAAUGCUAGAAAAAUAAGGCAGCUCUAGGAAGGAAGUUUUUUGUAAAUUCCUAGGAAGGAAUUUUAAUCUAAAAACAUGGUUGCUCUGGCAAGGGAUCACAUCCAAAAAACUUCUAAGUCCAAAUGAUCUGGCUGGAAUGACAUACCUCUAAUCUCUCUUGAUGGAAUAUAUACCCUUAAUACACACCUUUAAUCCUUAACAAUGAAGGUAAAAUUAGUUUGUAGAAGAAAUCAGCCAUGUUUGAAAGAGAAAUCUAAU
rnacentral:lncRNA from 1 species